rnacentral:rRNA from 1 species
CCUACGAGAGACAGCAGUGGGGAAUAUUGGGCAAUGGGCGCAAGCCUGACCCCGCAACGCCGCGUGAAGGAAGAAGGAUUUCGGGUGGUAAACUUAUUUUAAGAGGGAAGAGCAGAAGACGGUCACUCUUGAAUAAGCCACGGCUAACUACGUGCCAGCAGCCGCGGUAAUACGUAGGUGGCAUGCGUGGUCCGGAUUUCCUGGGUGUAACGGGCGUGUAGCCGGGCUGACAAGUCAGAUGUGAAAUUCCGGGGCUCAACCCCGGACUUGCGUUUGAAACUGUUGGUUUUGAGUAUCGUAGAGGCAGGCGGAAUUCCUAGUGUAGCGGUGAAAUGCGUAGAUAUUAGGAGGAACACCAGUGGCGAGGGCGGCCGGCUGGACGACAACUGACGGUGAGGCGCGAAAGCGUGGGGAGCAAACAGGAUUAGAUACCCCAGUAGUC